UGUGAAUGGCCCUUGAAUUGGUCAGACUAAUGUAAUGGUACAAAAAGAAUGGAUCUUUAUUCGUCCGUGGGGUGAUAAACAAGCAAAAAAGCACUGAUUUGGCAAACAUGGGCCACUUCUAUCCAAUCAGCUCAUUGAUUUGAUACAUCAUUCUUCCAUCACAAUGAUGUGAAAGCCUGUUGUUGAAAUCUUGAUACAAGCAUAUCCGAACAUGCAUGUAAUCAUGAAUAGGAUUGCAUCACGCGGAUUUUACCUACACAAGAAUAAGGUUUUCUCCCUGCACUGCGUAGGAGUUUUUCGCUUUGGUUUCCCCUACCUCCCGCAGUAGGGUUUUUACGUACGCGUUGUACUUUAAUUAUUCCUCCGUUAUCCCCUUUUUAUUCAUUCGAAAUAUACAUUGUAAUCGACAACAACCAUGGGUUUGCGCAUCAUUUCGUAGUGUCAAAAUAUCCGACAAGAAACUAAGUGGCGCUCAGAAACAUAAACUGGAGCGGGAAGAA
rnacentral:lncRNA from 1 species